rnacentral:rRNA from 1 species
AUUGAACGCUGGCGGCAGGCCUAACACAUGCAAGUCGAGCGGAUGAAGGGAGCUUGCUCCUGGAUUCAGCGGCGGACGGGUGAGUAAUGCCUAGGAAUCUGCCUGGUAGUGGGGGAUAACGUCCGGAAACGGGCGCUAAUACCGCAUACGUCCUGAGGGAGAAAGUGGGGGAUCUUCGGACCUCACGCUAUCAGAUGAGCCUAGGUCGGAUUAGCUAGUUGGUGGGGUAAAGGCCUACCAAGGCGACGAUCCGUAACUGGUCUGAGAGGAUGAUCAGUCACACUGGAACUGAGACACGGUCCAGACUCCUACGGGAGGCAGCAGUGGGGAAUAUUGGACAAUGGGCGAAAGCCUGAUCCAGCCAUGCCGCGUGUGUGAAGAAGGUCUUCGGAUUGUAAAGCACUUUAAGUUGGGAGGAAGGGCAGUAAGUUAAUACCUGGCUGUUUUGACGUUACCAACAGAAUAAGCACCGGCGAACUUCGU